rnacentral:rRNA from 1 species
UACGGGGGGAGCAAGCGUUGUUCGGAUUUACUGGGCGUAAAGGGCGCGUAGGCGGCACCGCAAGUCGACUGUGAAAUCUCCGGGCUUAACUCGGAAAGGUCAGCCGAUACUGCGGGGCUAGAGUGCAGAAGGGGCAACUGGAAUUCUCGGUGUAGCGGUGAAAUGCGUAGAUAUCGAGAGGAACACCUGCGGCGAAGGCGGGUUGCUGGGCUGACACUGACGCUGAACUGCGAAAGCUAGGGGAGCGAACGGG